GUCCGGGGAGGCUCACAGAUCAUUUCUCUAGGUCGGUUUGUCUUGACAACCCGUCAGCGUUCCCAUUCUGUUUGCCCGGGCAGUACUGAAUGUUAAAGUCAAAAGGCUGCAGCGCCAAACUCCAGCGCAGCAGCCUGGAAUUGUCCCCAGCCACACGGUUUAGCCAGACCAACGGGUUGUGAGCCGUGAGCAAGGAAAAGGGCUGUCCAUACAAAUAUGGCUGCAUUUUCUUCAGGGCCC